AAUUCUAGUGAAACGACAUAAUUUUUUUCUUGUUGGAAUGAGCUAUAUGGUUUGUCAACCACCGAACCUUUUUUUUUUUCUGGAAACAGACAAUGGCAUCCAAACUUAUGUCUACCCAGGAUGGGAUGGAAGGUGAAAGAGAGGAAGUUUAAAAGGCUUGAAAAAAAAGAAGUCUGGAAAGAGAUAGGGGAGGGUUAUAGAGAUAGAAGAGAAGGUUGAGGGAGGCAGAGAUUUAGAGAGACAUGGAAACGAGUUUUUGUCUUCUUAAACUUGCAAGGGAGGGAGAAAGAUCAGGAGAGAGCAAGAAAAAAAUAUGAAUGUGUGAAGAUCUAUUGUGGUGAAAUGCAUAUUAUAUUGAUCAAGCACUUUCUUUUUGAGUCUCUUUUGUUUGGAAUUCUCUGGACACUAACCUGGAAACUACUUCUACACGUGAAAGUUAAGAUUCUCAAGAUGAAAUAAGAGCUAGUAUGGUAUGUUUUGUAUAUUUAUAUGUUGUUGAGUUGAAUAUAAAAUUGGGUUAAUUUUUUAAGAUUGUCUUGAUUGGAUUAAAAUAGAUUAUCGAGUUAAAUAUGGAUCUGGGCUGUUUUUUUAAGGUUGUUUUGAUUGAGUUAAAAUAGAUUAUUAAGUUGUAGUGUUUAAUAAGUUAAAAGUUGUGUUGAUUUGAUAUAUGAAAACCUAUAGAUUUUAAUAAUUCUUUAUUAGAAGGAUUUGAUAUAUUGAGCACAAGGUUUGAUCUGUUGAAAGAAUUGUUAAGUUCUCUGCUCAUGUUUUUACUUAUCUCGAGAAAAAGGUUGACCAAAGUUUGGCCCUUCACUGAAUUAAGAUUUCUCCUACUUUUGUUUUAUGGUUUGUUGUCAUAUAUUGCCACUGUAGGGCUGCAAUUUUCGUCUUCUUCUUGUAAAUGUGCUUUGGUGUUAGGCUAGCGUUCUAAUUUUCUCUUGGGUUUUUGUUUGGGUGUUAUGUUUUCUGGGUUUGUAGCUAAGUUCCAGAUUAAGAGAUUCGGACAUGUUUUGUGCUCUUUUAUUCUGUCUUUAAGAUGAUCUUAUUAUUUCAACCGAGAGAAUGGUUUGGAUUUUAUUAUUGAAUUUCUCUUAUCAAUUCAAACUUUUUUCUUAGGGAAUUGAUUUUCUUUGAUGACUUUUUAAGCAGUUUUAUACCAUAAAAAGGGCUUCCAAGGGACAAUUUCUCUUAUCAAUUGUUUGGGUGUUAUGUUUUCUGGGUUUGUUGCUUGUAGGGUUCUUUCUGUUGCUUAGAGCAAACAAGUUUGAUUACUUCUUUUGCUGUGUUUGCUGAAGCUUUUCUUGUUUUUUCUUUCAUUUUUUGUGGACACCAUAGCCUCUGUUGUGUUUUUUUUUUCCUCCUUUUUUUUAACAGCUAUAUGUUUUACGUUGCUCUUGGAGAAAGACAUCAAUUUCUUGGCUUUUUUUUUCUUUCUAAAGCAGCCAAAUAUUCACCAAAGACUGAUUUUAUCAUGUAAUAGAGCAUAUUUUCAUACCAAUUAUGGAUCAUUUCUUUGCAUGUUUAAUUUUUAUGUUUGAGCUGAUGAGAGAAGAUGAAGCUCAGAGAUAUUGCCACCAGCUUAUCAAUAUAGUGGAUCAUUGCCACAGCAAGGGUGUUUCUCACAGAGACCUCAAGCCAUAAAAUUUGCUGUUGAAUACUUUUGGGAACCUUAGAAUUUAGAUUUUGGAUUAAGUUCAUUGUCCCAACAAGUUAGGGCAUCAAAUCCUCAUCUACAAAGCCACGAGAAAGAAGGGACCGAGAGAGAAAGCCAUUGAAACUUCUCCAUCCAAUGGUGGAUGUUGGUGAUUUGGGACUUAUCAGGUUUCUCCAAGUGUAUGGAUUUUACUGCAGAUGGUUUAGAGUUUCAAUAUAUUAAAAAAUAAUAGAUCAAACGCUAAAUUUAAAAAUAAGUUUUGUAGUUUCAUUAAGUUUUUCACAUCUUGAAAGUGAAUUGAAAUACCUUCUUUUUUAAUCUAUUGUUCCCGAAGGUCUCUAUCAUGGCAGGGGCAUUGCUCGAUUCUGUUA